GAUGAACGCUGGCGGCGUGCCUAAUACAUGCAAGUCGAGCGAACAGACGAGGAGCUUGCUCCUCUGACGUUAGCGGCGGACGGGUGAGUAACACGUGGAUAACCUACCUAUAAGACUGGGAUAACUUCGGGAAACCGGAGCUAGUACCGGAUAAUAUAUUGAACCGCAUGGUUCAAUAGUGAAAGACGGUUUUGCUGUCACUUAUAGAUGGAUCCGCGCCGCAUUAGCUAGUUGGUAAGGUAACGGCUUACCAAGGCAACGAUGCGUAGCCGACCUGAGAGGGUGAUCGGCCACACUGGAACUGAGACACGGUCCAGACUCCUACGGGAGGCAGCAGUAGGGAAUCUUCCGCAAUGGGCGAAAGCCUGGCGGAGCAACGCCGCGUGAGUGAUGAAGGUCUUCGGAUCGUAAAACUCUGUUAUUAGGGAAGAACAAAUGUGUAAGUAACUAUGCACGUCUUGACGGUACCUAAUCAGAAAGCCACGGCUAACUACGUG
rnacentral:rRNA from 1 species